rnacentral:rRNA from 1 species
GAUGAACGCUGGCGGCGUGCCUAACACAUGCAAGUCGAGCGAUUCUCUUCGGAGAAGAGCGGCGGACGGGUGAGUAACGCGUGGGUAACCUGCCCUGUACACACGGAUAACAUACCGAAAGGUAUGCUAAUACGAGAUAAUAUGCUUUUAUCGCAUGGUAGAAGUAUCAAAGCUUUUGCGGUACAGGAUGGACCCGCGUCUGAUUAGCUAGUUGGUAAGGUAACGGCUUACCAAGGCGACGAUCAGUAGCCGACCUGAGAGGGUGAUCGGCCACAUUGGAACUGAGACACGGUCCAAACUCCUACGGGAGGCAGCAGUGGGGAAUAUUGCACAAUGGGCGAAAGCCUGAUGCAGCAACGCCGCGUGAGCGAUGAAGGCCUUCGGGUCGUAAAGCUCUGUCCUCAAGGAAGAUAAUGACGGUACUUGAGGAGGAAGCCCCGGCUAACUACGUGCCAGCCGCCGCGGUAAAAC